GACGAACGCUGGCGGCGUGCUUAACACAUGCAAGUCGAACGGAAAGGCCCUGCUUUUGUGGGGUGCUCGAGUGGCGAACGGGUGAGUAACACGUGAGUAAUCUGCCCUUGACUUUGGGAUAACUUUAGGAAACUGGGGCUAAUACCGGAUAGGAGCUCGUGCUGCAUGGUGGGGGUUGGAAAGUUUCGGCGGUUGGGGAUGGACUCGCGGCUUUUCAGCUUGUUGGUGGGGUAGUGGCUUACCAAGGCUUUGACGGGUAGCCGGCCUGAGAGGGUGACCGGCCACAUUGGGACUGAGAUACGGCCCAGCGUCCUACGGGAGGCAGCAGUGGGGAAUAUUGCACAAUGGACGGAAGCCUGAUGCAGCAACGCCGCGUGCGGGAUGACGGCCUUCGGGUUGUAAACCGCUUUCGCCUGUGACGAAGCGUGAGUGACGGUAAUGGGUAAAGAAGCACCGGCUAACUACGUG
rnacentral:rRNA from 1 species